rnacentral:rRNA from 1 species
CUACGGGACGCAGCAGUGGGGAAUAUUGGACAAUGGGGGAAACCCUGAUCCAGCAAUGCCGCGUGUGUGAAGAAGGCCUGCGGGUUGUAAAGCACUUUCGGUUGGGAGGACUGCUUCUAGCACUAAUAUUGUUGGAAGUUGACGUUACCUUCAGAAGAAGCACCGGCUAACUCCGUGCCAGCAGCCACGGUAAUACGGAGGGUGCAAGCGUUAAUCGGAAUUACUGGGCGUAAAGCGCGCGUAGGCGGCUAGAUCAGUCGGGUGUGAAAGCCCCGGGCUUAACCUGGGAACUGCAUCCGAUACUGUCUAGCUUGAGUACAGGAGAGGAGAGUGGAAUUCCACAUGUAGCGGUGAAAUGCGUAGAUAUGUGGAGGAACACCAAUGGCGAAGGCAGCUCUCUGGCCUGAUACUGACGCUGAGGUGCGAAAGCGUGGGAAGCAAACAGGAUUAGAUACCCCCGUAGUC